rnacentral:rRNA from 1 species
ACAGGUUGGCAAGCGGCGCACGGGUGAGUAAUACAUGUAAAUAUACCUUAAAGUGGGGAAUAACGUACGGAAACGUACGCUAAUACCGCAUAAUUAUUACGAGAUAAAGCAGGGGCUUGAUAUAAAAACAAUCAACCUUGCGCUUUUAGAAAAUUACAUGCCGGAUUAGCUAGUUGGUAGAGUAAAAGCCUACCAAGGUAACGAUCCGUAGCUGGUCUGAGAGGAUGAUCAGCCACACUGGGACUGAGAAAAGGCCAGACUCCUACGGGAGGCAGCAGUGGGGAAUAUUGGACAAUGGGGGGAACCCUGAUCCAGUCAUGCCGCGUGUGUGAAGAAGGCCUUUGGGUUGUAAAGCACUUUCAGCGAAGAAGAAAAGUUAUAAAAUAAAAAGUUAUAACUAUGACGGUACUCGCAGAAGAAGCACCGGCUAACUCCGUGCCAGCAGCCGCGGUGAGACGGAGGGUGCAAGCGUUAAUCAGAAUUACUGGGCGUAAAGGGCAUGUAGGUGGUUUGUUAAGCUUUAUGUGAAAGCCCUAUGCUUAACAUAGGAACGGAAUAAAGAACUGACAAACUAGAGUGCAGAAGAGGAAGGUAGAAUUCCCGGUGUAGCGGUGAAAUGCGUAGAUAUCUGGAGGAAUACCAGUUGCGAAGGCGACCUUCUGGGCUGACACUGACACUGAGAUGCGAAAGCGUGGGGAGCAAACAGGAUUAGAUACCCUGGUAGUCCACGCUGUAAACGAUAUCAACUAGCCGUUGGAUUCUUAAAGAAUUUUGUGGCGUAGCUAACGCGAUAAGUUGAUCGCCUGGGGAGUACGGUCGCAAGGCUAAAACUCAAAUGAAUUGACGGGGGCCCGCACAAGCGGUGGAGCAUGUGGUUUAAUUCGAUGCAACGCGCAAAACCUUACCUACUCUUGACAUCCAAAGUACUUUCCAGAGAUGGAAGGGUGCCUUAGGGAACUUUGAGACAGGUGCUGCAUGGCUGUCGUCAGCUCGUGUUGUGAAAUGUUGGGUUAAGUCCCGUAACGAGCGCAACCCUUGUUCUUAGUUGCCA